GGCUCGGUUGGUAGGGCAUGAGACUCUUAAUCUCAGGGUUGUGGGUUCAAGCCCCACGAUGGGCA